GUGGUUGCGUUCCGCCAGCUAGCUGGUCAUCGCUUCGCGGAGAGGAAAGACGGUCGAGGUUCAGAUACAGCAAAUAGUAUGUAACAGGCGGUGGUUUGAACGGCUGCCUGCCAAAUUGAGAAGGCAUACUGAACCGCGCGCGCCGC
ensembl:ncRNA F26A10.10 ncRNA